rnacentral:lncRNA from 1 species
AAAAAAAAAAAAAGGCAGCACAGCAGCGAUUAUUAAAGCACGGGAGAGAGCAUGGCAGACAAUUGCGGACCGGCUCAAUACGAAGUCUGAAAAAAAAAAACAGUACAAUGAAUAAACAGCGCUCAACUGAAACUCCUAAAAAUUACAAUUAAAGGACCAACAGAGUUAGUGACUUUUCAUUUGCACUAAUGAACAGUUGUACACUUUCUAUGUUGCAAGUAUAGAAUUGCAUGUUACUCGGGGAAAAAAGUGCAAAGAAUUAUUCACAUUGUGUGAGUGUGUUACCGGUUAUCUAUUUAUCCAAAAUGAAUUUUGUUUGUCUAUUUUAUCUGUCCAUCCUUCUCUAAGAACAAACUUCUCUGGACAGAAGAAGAACUGGCAGUAAGUAAAUACCAAUUGAAAGGAUAUUCUGCUGGCUGGUGAGUACCUUUAGUGUAGAUAAUAAACAAAUGAGGUGACUAGAUUAGGUGUCUGCUUACAUAUUGAUUAUCUGAUUGUAGCAGUUAAAAUAAAAGCCCACAAAACUGGCACGGGGUGGCCCACCAGCCCACCAAGCCAAGAUUUGUCACCAGCAGAGGAGCUAGCACUGGACUUCAAUAAAGGGAGGUCAGUGACAGAGAGGACCCAGGGAUGGAUGGCCACAGACUCUGGCCCUGCGACAUAAACUGGCUGCUUUGUACAAGGUAGGCUGCACAUAGAACACAAUUAAAUGAGUGUAUUAUACUGCUUGACUUUGGAUUUCUUUGCAGUGUUUGGGGACACACUAGUACUUUUGAAGCCACCAGAGGAUGAUCUGGUUAGUACAGUACCAUUUAUUGAAAUCAGCACUUUGGCCUGCUCUGUUAAAUCUCUAGAAGGCUUGAGGUAUCGUAAAUUUUGUGGAAAUAUCCUGCUUAUUUAGUCUAUAAUGGAAAUAAAGUCAGUGAACUGGUGCGAAUAAAAUGCAGAUUCAGCACAGCCUCAGAAACAGC